CACAGAUGACAAGAGGAAAAAUUCAGUGACCUGAGCCCAGAAGCCUCUGUGAUGGCUAGACUUCCAUUCUUCCUUAACUUCCCUAAAGCCAGCGAUGUCAACUGAUGGGAUAUUCUGUCUGUCUGAUCAGGCAGUGGGAGCGUGACCUGCACUUCUAGCUUCUGCCUGGAACUCUCACCGUUUCACACAGUGCAGACAGCACUUCCUCCCUGGCAAUGAAGGUGCAAGCUACUACAAAUGGAAGAUAUAUAAGAGGCUGGGAAGCAAAGGACAGAGGAAUGCCUCUCUACAUUUAUUUUUCCACUACCCAACAGGUUUUCAGAGAUGGGGAAAAUGAAGAGCCUGGAUCAUUUCACAAGAGGCCCAGAGAGAAGGGAACCCAGCCUCAUGCCCUCCAACUGGCACCUAGGUUUUCAUAUCCAUGACAACUGGCUACUUUCUCUGAGCACACCAACAAAUCCUCUGCCUUCCUCUUGGCUUUCUUUUUGGCUUCACUUCACAAAGAACAGAAAAAUGUUGCUGGAUUGCAAACUUCAAGAUAAUUCAACAAAUGUCUCUUGAGAAAAUCUCUGUAUAAGAAUUUUUAAAUCAGAGCCAAGUUGCGGGGGGUGGUUAGUGUUUUUCCUGACUCAGCAACUCCACACAUUCCCUCCAAAUGGACAGGCUAGCUGCUGGGCAGAAGAGGAGAAUGGGGGCACAGGUAACCUGUGACAGUUAACCUCUUCAUGGUGUAGUGUGGAAAGCACACCUCUGGGUGUGUCUUGGAGGGUGCUUCCGAAAAGGAUUAAUGAGGAGAGAACCCACUUUGAAUGUGGACGUCCCAACCAAAGCCUGGGGGCUCAGAUGGAACAAAGCAGGGAGAAGACAGAGCCCUGGUUCUUCCUCUUUGUUUUCUGGCCAUCAUAGAGGACUCUUCUGCUAAUAAACCCUCCAGCCUUGAGGGAUUGACACCUCUAAAACCAUAAGCCAAAAUAAAUCUGUCCUACAUUAAGUUGAUGUUUGUGUGGGUAUUUAUCACAGCAUGAAAAGCUCACUGAAAAAUAACAAAAUGCAACAA
rnacentral:lncRNA from 1 species